GUGAUGGGGAACACUCGGUCGCUCCGAGCGGCUGGGGGAGGCGUUGAGUCCUGGGAGGGCGCGCUCCCAUGCGGCCGCCCGCCCGGGUUAGAGCUGGGCCCGCGGCACAACCAUUUAAAACUUCAUAAAUUAUAAACAAGCCGCCUUGGCCUUCGCCAUAAAUUCCGCUCCUCUUGAACCUGCAAUUAGUGUUAGGAAAGACCCAAAUCUAAACAAAACCGUACGCUCUCUGAAGGGCCCAAUUGCCCGAGUUGCAAACCUUCAUUCAUUUCUCAGUGCCACCCUUUCUGCAUCCCAGGUUUGCACACAGUAGCCUCCUCCCCCGCCACCGCCGGCGGUGCACACUCGGCUGGGUUCCCGCUCUGAGAGGGAAGGUCACAAUAGCUGCUCUAUCCGCGGAGGCGCCUGCCUCCUCCCACCCGGGUCUCAAAAGCAAAGAAAGAAUAGUGGGGGAGGGGAGCUCGGCCGGCGAUGGCGCCCUGGGCCCUGGCCUCUCCUCUUGCCGAGGACCGGCAACGGGACCUGCAGGAGGAAGUUGGCAGGGAAGGAAAUCUCCACCCCAGUUCCUGUCUCUCCAGAUACGAGAGGACUAGGAGCAAAGGGGAGCGCACCAAGGAUUGAGGAUUUCAAAUGAGAGGAAGAAAAGAGAAUACAUAACAAGUAUGUUCCCCUUGGUGCAGCCUGAAGCCCAGUCCCUAUCAGAGACACGUCAGCCAAAUUGGUUUCCAAGGCUCCAGAAGCUGCUAACCUUGCUGAACAAGAUUUUUCGAAUUUCUAUCUGGCCACGAGGGGACGGGGUCGGACAAGCGGUGCUCUAGGGAGCUGGCACCAACAUCCCUGCUCCCUUGGGGCAGUGACGACGCCGUGCCAGUGGCCGCAGAGAACACACAAAGGAAGCCCCGACCCAUUCUCUGGACCUGGAGACAUCACAAGGGAGGGGACUGGUGCGGACCCCGAGUCAGAGCAUUCCUCGGUCCCCCGCGGGGAACAAUAGGCGCAGCGGGCCGGGGUGGCUGGGCGGUUUGGCCCUCGCGCCGCACAAAGCCCGCUUGGACCGCGCUGCCACGUGACGUGCGCGCGCGCGGGGGCUGGGGGUGGAGGUCCUGAAUCCACCUGGAACACUUUCAGAAAGACAAACGCGGUUCCUCCUAUUUCUGAGCAAGUCUGGGCCAGCUGGGAGCCGACCAGAAACCGCAAGCUGGGGAGACGCAGGCGCGCGGGGUGAGCGCUAACGGAGGGCGCGACCCAUCGCGCCCGCCCACCGGGGAGCGGUGCAGACGGGGCAGCGGGAUCUGCACUCCGGGGACCCGAGCUACCGCCCGCCAGCCCCGCCCUCGAGCUACUCCGGGCGCCUGGCGACUUAUUCGCACACCCCCUCACACCCUGCAUUCCCCUAGCUCCUCUCCACCCACUGCUUGCCCCAGUGACAGAAGCCCUUACAAGCUGCUUUCUCCCAAGAAAGGGACGAAACCAUCUCUGAAGGCAGUACAAGAAAAAUCCCAAAGGGUCAGAAGGUUUUUUGCAGACUCUUGUUUAAAAGUUUCUGUUUGCUUGUAGGAGUACUUGGGUGGGAAGAAGUAGGGUAACAAGACCAAUGCUGAACUUGGGAUAAACUUGAAUGCCAUUUAAAAUAACAAUAAAAAUACUUACAACACCAGGUACGAUGAAAGGUCUCCUUUUUCUACACUAAGGGAAAGAC